CCUACGGGAGGCAGCAGUGAGGACUAUUGGUCAAUGGGCGCAAGCCUGAACCAGCCAAGUCGCGUGAGGGAUGAAGGUUCUAUGGAUCGUAAACCUCUUUUAUAAGGGAAUAAAGUGUGGGACGUGUCCUAUUUUGUAUGUACCUUAUGAAUAAGGAUCGGCUAACUCCGUGCCAGCAGCCGCGGUAAUACGGAGGAUCCGAGCGUUAUCCGGUUUUAUUGGGUUUAAAGGGUGCGUAGGCGGCCUUUUAAGUCAGCGGUGAAAGUUGGGGGCUCAACCUUAGAUUUGCCGUGAAAACUGGAGGGUUUGGGUAUGUUGAGGGCGGGCGAAAUGGGUGGGGAAGCGGGAAAAUGCU
rnacentral:rRNA from 1 species